rnacentral:rRNA from 1 species
UACGAAGGGGGCUAGCGUUGUUCGGAAUCACUGGGCGUAAAGCGCACGUAGGCGGAUCUUUAAGUCAGGGGUGAAAUCCCGAGGCUCAACCUCGGAACUGCCUUUGAUACUGGGGAUCUCGAGUCCGGGAGAGGUGAGUGGAACUGCGAGUGUAGAGGUGAAAUUCGUAGAUAUUCGCAAGAACACCAGUGGCGAAGGCGGCUCUCUGGCCCGGUACUGACGCUGAGGCACGAAAGCGUGGGGAGCAAACAGG